CUAGCGACUUCAGAGUUUGAUCCUGGCUCAGGAUGAACGCUAGCGACAGGCCUAACACAUGCAAGUCGAGGGGCAGCAUGAAAUUAGCUUGCUAAUUUUGAUGGCGACCGGCGCACGGGUGAGUAACACGUAUGCAACCUGCCUGUAAGCGGGGGAUAACCCGGAGAAAUUCGGACUAAUACCGCAUAAUAUCAUCGAAUCGCAUGUUUUGAUGAUUAAAAAUUUAUUGCUUACAGAUGGGCAUGCGUAUGAUUAGCUAGUUGGCGGGGUAACGGCCCACCAAGGCGACGAUCAUUAGGGGUUCUGAGAGGAAGGUCCCCCACAUUGGAACUGAGACACGGUCCAA
rnacentral:rRNA from 1 species